CGGGAUCACACAAGGCAGGCGAGACGCCGAUUGGCCCUGCGCGGGUCAGGAGCUGCGGGCUGCUGUAAACAGCCGGGGCCGACACGCUCUGGGAGGCCGUGGGCUGACCGACAGUAACCUCUAGGCAAACUCAGCCUGCCCCCGCCCCCCCGUGCUUCGAGGAGGGAUGGGGAGAGCAGGGCCGGCAGCGGCAGGAAAAUUCCCCUGGCCGAGGUGAAUGAACUCGUGUGACGCGGGGCCGGGCUGCCAGCAUUACGUGUUGUGCCGCAUGCACGGCUGCUGGCCGCGGGCGCUGGCGGAGGGCCCAGCUGGGUAACCUGCAGUAACCCGCGGUGCGGGCAGCCGGCGGCAGGCGUGCCGGGAGGGAGCAGCCAUCGUGAGCCGCUCGCUCAGCGCCCUUACAGAGGCACUGGGUGAUCUCCCCUUCCUCGCCGACGGUGGGAGGGAGCAGGGCUGGGGAUUGGCAUCUCCUCGCCCACAGAACACGGAGUAUCCCGCGUCGGAAGGGACCCCCGAGGCCAGCUCAGCCAAAGGCAUGGGUGGCAGUGCUUCGCCCAGUCCCGCUCGCCACUCUGGAAGCCCAACAGGUCUUAAAGUAACCAUUUUUAUUAUGAACAAAUAAAAUUUCAGAUCAGCACAACCAGAUGUCUGUUUCCGUAUUAGUAGAAAUUAUUUCAAAAAGUUUUUUUUUUUUUUUUUUUUUUCCUUUUCCAGUACACAAAA